rnacentral:rRNA from 1 species
GAUGAACGCUAGCGGCAGGCCUAACACAUGCAAGUCGAGGGGCAUCACGGAUUGCUUGCAAUCUGGUGGCGACCGGCGCACGGGUGCGUAACGCGUAUACAACCUACCUUUUGGAGGGGAAUAGCCCAGAGAAAUUUGGAUUAAUACCCCAUAGUAUAUGGACUUCUCCUGAAGUUUAUAUUAAACAUUUAUGGCUAUUAGAUGGGUAUGCGUCCUAUUAGUUAGUUGGUAAGGUAACGGCUUACCAAGGCAGCGAUAGGUAGGGUCCCGAGAGGGAGAUCCCCACACUGGUACUGAGACACGGACCAGACUCCUACGGGAGGCAGCAGUGAGGAAUAUUGGACAAUGGGCGAGAGCCUGAUCCAGCCAUGCCGCGUGCAGGAAGACUGCCCUAUGGGUUGUAAACUGUCUUUUACAGAGGAAGAACCCACCCCACGUGUGGGGGUUUGACGGUACUCUGCGAAUAAGGAUCGGCUAACUCCGUG